UCCCUGGUGGCUCAACUGGUAAAGAAUCUGCCUGCAAUGCAGGAGACCCUGGUUUGAUCCCUGGGUUGGGAA
rnacentral:tRNA from 1 species